UCUUUGGUCAAUCAAUCUCCUGGGGAAAAGUGUUGCAAGUGUGAUAAAAAUCUGUAAUUUGAAUUGCUGCCCAUUAUGGACAAUUACUAGGUCUGUAUGCUGUCCAACUCCCACACUGAACCAUUUCCAGAAUAACAGCUUUGCUUUGAUGAUCUUUAUAUUUUAUGCCUCUUUCAUCUCUUGACAAAAUGAAAUACCUGUAAUGCUUCUAAAAUUUUCUACAUGUGUUUGUUCAAGGUCUUCCCUGGUGAUUAUUGCCAGUUACUCAACUGCACUGCCCAUCUUUUUUUUUUUUUUUUUUUUUCUCGAUAGGUGAACAACUGAUUAGUCUUUAUGGUCUAAUCUGUUAUGGCAAGUAAAUAUACCUUACAUAUUCUCCUUUUGUGGUACUAAGACUAAGAGUUCCUGUAUGGUGGGCAAGCUUAUUAUGUUUUUUUUUAAUCACUGAGCAACAUCUGUAGAAAUACAAGCCCUAAACCACAUUAUAACUUUAGCAAACGAAUCCAUAUAUAUGUUGUACUACAUUUAAAGGAGAACCUCUAAAUUAUACAUAUAGUACAUUUUGUAAGUUAAAUAAUACUUUGUUAUAUUUAUUUAUUCAAUUUCAAUAUAUGAUUAAAAUUACACUCAGCAUAAACAUCCAAAUUACUAAAUAAUCAUAAACUAAAUGCAUCUGUGUAAAAACUACACAAGUCUAGAAACAAAAUAUUAUCAGAACCUUGUCAGACACUUCAUAAGAAUCCAAAGGUAACUACUUUCCAAAGUCCUAAAAUAUUCUAUUCUUUUUUCUCAGUUUAUUAUGAUUCAUUUAAUCAAACAGGUUUUCAAAGUCUGCUCAAUUUUAACUGACUUUUCUAUGCCUCAACAUUGUAUUUUUGAGAUCUAUCUAUAUUGUUGCAUAUGGUCAUAAAGGUCUCACUCUAUAUUUACAAUGUCAUAGACACAUGGAUGAAUAGGUACAAAGAUAGAUAGAUAGAUACAUAGAUAGAUAGAUAGAUAGAUAGAUAGAUAGACACGGAAAGAGAAACAACAUAUGCAUACAAUAGUUUAAGAGGCAUGGAAAGUGAGUCUUUGGGUAAAUAUAAAUAAAUAUGCACUUUUGGCCAGGCAGUGGUGGUGCACGGUUUUAAUCCCAGCACUUGGGAGACAGAGGCAGGCAGGUUUCUGAGUUUGAGACCAUAUAUAUAUAUAUAUAUAUAUAUAUAUAUAUAUAUAUAUAUAUGUAAAUGUAAAGGCCAUAUAUAUAUAUAUACAUAUAUAUAUAUAUAUAUAUAUAUAUGCCAAGAGAAUUGCAAGUCAAAUACUGUUUUUUAUAUAAUUGGCAAUUUGAUUGUUUAUUUCUCUAAAGCCUUAUGCACAUGUCCUCUUCUAAAGACAAUAAUAUCUCCAUAAUCUCUCCUUUUCAAAAUGAAUUCUCAAAUAUGUACCUUGUUUCACAGUGAUAUACACUUCUUCUCUUUAUAAUAUUCAUCUAAUUAUACUUAGUUAAUAAUAAUAAAUAAUAAUACACUAUUUGUGGUUAUUACCUUCUAGAGUUCAACAUGGUUCUAAGUUUUAAAAUGUCUAUAAAAUAGCAUUAGGUUUAUAUUGAAAGACUUUUCUAUAUUCCAUUCCUUUGUCAAUGAUUGAAUUUCAAAUAGCCAAAAAGGAUUAAACAACUCCAUCAAACAGGAUUCAUCAACUCAUCAAACAUUUUGUGUGUGGAAUUCAAUGCAUAUGAUGGUAUUCUAAUAACAAACAUGAUUUUGAAGUUUUACACAAAUAAACAAAUGGUUAAUGCAAAUGAAAUUAGU
rnacentral:lncRNA from 1 species